GACGAACGCUGGCGGCGUGCUUAACACAUGCAAGUCGAACGGAAAGGCCUGCUUUCCCUUGUGGAUUGCGGGUACUCGAGUGGCGAACGGGUGAGUAACACGUGAGUGAUCUGCCCCCAACUUGGGUAUAAGCCUGGGAAACUGGGUCUAAUUCCCGAUAGGACUGCAGGGUGGUGCCUGUGGUGGAAAACGAUUUUCUAGUGGUUGGGGAUGAGCUCGCGGCCUAUCAGCUUGUUGGUGGGGUAAUGGCCUACCAAGGCGGCGACGGGUAGCCGGCCUGAGAGGGUGGACGGCCACAUUGGGACUGAGAUACGGACCAGACUGCGACGGGAGGCAGCAGUGGGGAAUAUUGCACGAUGAGGGGAAGCCUGAUGCGGCGACGCCGCGUGGGGGAUGACGGCCUUCGGGUUGUAAACUCCUUUCGACCGCAAGGAAGCCGCCUGGUUGGAAGGGUGGUGACGGUAGUGGUAGAAGAAGCACCGGCUAACUACGUG
rnacentral:rRNA from 1 species